UACGUAGGGUGCAAGCGUUAAUCGGAAUUAUUGGGCGUAAAGAGCUCGUAGGCGGUUUGUUGCGUCGGCUGUGAAAUCCCGAGGCUCAACCUCGGGUCUGCAGUCGAUACGAGCAAACUAGAGUGUUGCAGGGGAGACUGGAAUUCCUGGUGUAGCGGUAAAAUGCGCAGAUAUCAGGAGGAACACCGGUGGCGAAGGCGGGUCUCUGGGCAACAACUGACGCUGAGGAGCGAAAGCGUGGGGAGCGAACAGG
rnacentral:rRNA from 1 species